GGGGUUUAAAAAUUGAUCUUUCCGGAAAUUUUGAUUCCGUGUUUUUGGUUUUAAAAAUAGUGCAUAUUUCACACUGAAAGUAAUUUCUACUGAAAACAAUUCGUACUGAUAAUUAAACUAUAUAUAAAACACAAAAUUAUAUGCAUAUUGUAGAGUUUGCAAAGCUUAAUACAAAACUGAAAUUCUUUUUCAAAUCGGAUGAUGCAUUGCAGAGAUAUCGGGGUUUAAAUAUUGAUUUUUCCGGAAAUUUUGAUUCCGUGUUCUUGGUUUAAAAAAUAGUGUAAAAUUCACACUGAAAGUAACUCCUGCUGAAAACAAUUCGUGCAGGUCAUAAAACCGGACUCUGUUUUUUAAUAGUUAAUUAAAGUGUUUAUCGAUACAAUUUAGUUAUUUCGAUCGAUAAUUACGUUGUUAGUUUUUAUUAGUCUUAUUAGUUUUAAUCGAAAUAAUCAUCGUACGAUUCCCCAUUUCAACUCGCCAUGUUUUGACUGCGAACAAACAGCUGAUAGCGGUGUGUCUACAUUUUAAAAAAAAGCAAGGCCUGCAAGACGUCGAUAGUGGAAAUUUCAGCUCAACUAACGUAUGACAGAUUAUAAAGCUUAAAGCAGACUCUUGUUACCACAUGGCUUUUACCUGUUGAUUCUUGUGGUUUCAGCUCUUGAGGUUAACCUGUCACCUCUACCCACAUGCAUAUUCCUUGUGUUCUACAGACUAUCUACCGGUAAUUCAAAUUAAAUCGGAUAAUGCAUGAACAAUAAUGGAACUUUAAGAAAGCAUCAUGUCCUAUUGUGGUUUGUUCAUGUUUGAUAAGAAAUUAUGAAAAACAAAAUUAAGGCUGUUUAAAGAAAUAUAAUUGUUGUGAAAAUUUGUUUUUCAAUAAAAGUAUGCAAUUAUG